rnacentral:rRNA from 1 species
GAUGAACGCUGGCGGCGUGCCUAAUACAUGCAAGUCGAGCGAACGGACGAGAAGCUUGCUUCUCUGAUGUUAGCGGCGGACGGGUGAGUAACACGUGGAUAACCUACCUAUAAGACUGGGAUAACUUCGGGAAACCGGAGCUAAUACCGGAUAAUAUUUUGAACCGCAUGGUUCAAAAGUGAAAGACGGUCUUGCUGUCACUUAUAGAUGGAUCCGCGCUGCAUUAGCUAGUUGGUAAGGUAACGGCUUACCAAGGCAACGAUGCAUAGCCGACCUGAGAGGGUGAUCGGCCACACUGGAACUGAGACACGGUCCAGACUCCUACGGGAGGCAGCAGUAGGGAAUCUUCCGCAAUGGGCGAAAGCCUGACGGAGCAACGCCGCGUGAGUGAUGAAGGUCUUCGGAUCGUAAAACUCUGUUAUUAGGGAAGAACAUAUGUGUAAGUAACUGUGCACAUCUUGACGGUACCUAAUCAGAAAGCCACGGCUAACUACGUGCCAGCAGCCGCGGCAAUACGUAGGUGGCAAGCGUUAUCCGGAAUUAUUGGGCGUAAAGCGCGCGUAGGCGGUUUUUUAAGUCUGAUGUGAAAGCCCACGGCUCAACCGUGGGGGGUCAUUGGAAACUGGAAAACUUGAGUGCAGAAGAGGAAAGUGGAAUUCCAUGUGUAGCGGUGAAAUGCGCAGAGAUAUGGAGGAACACCAGUGGCGAAGGCGACUUUCUGGUCUGUAACUGACGCUGAUGUGCGAAAGCGUGGGGAUCAAACAGGAUUAGAUACCCUGGUAGUCCACGCCGUAAACGAUGAGUGCUAAGUGUUAGGGGGUUUCCGCCCCUUAGUGCUGCAGCUAACGCAUUAAGCACUCCGCCUGGGGAGUACGACCGCAAGGUUGAAACUCAAAGGAAUUGACGGGGACCCGCACAAGCGGUGGAGCAUGUGGUUUAAUUCGAAGCAACGCGAAGAACCUUACCAAAUCUUGACAUCCUUUGACAACUCUAGAGAUAGAGCCUUCCCCUUCGGGGGACAAAGUGACAGGUGGUGCAUGGUUGUCGUCAGCUCGUGUCGUGAGAUGUUGGGUUAAGUCCCGCAACGAGCGCAACCCUUAAGCUUAGUUGCCAUCAUUAAGUUGGGCACUCUAAGUUGACUGCCGGUGACAAACCGGAGGAAGGUGGGGAUGACGUCAAAUCAUCAUGCCCCUUAUGAUUUGGGCUACACACGUGCUACAAUGGACAAUACAAAGGGCAGCGAAACCGCGAGGUCAAGCAAAUCCCAUAAAGUUGUUCUCAGUUCGGAUUGUAGUCUGCAACUCGACUACAUGAAGCUGGAAUCGCUAGUAAUCGUAGAUCAGCAUGCUACGGUGAAUACGUUCCCGGGUCU